UACGUAGGGUGCGAGCGUUAAUCGGAAUUACUGGGCGUAAAGUGUGCGCAGGCGGCCGAGCAAGUCGAGUGUGAAAGCCCCGAGCUUAACUUGGGAAUUGCGCUCGAAACUACUUGGCUGGAGUGUGGCAGAGGAAGGUGGAAUUCCAGGUGUAGCGGUGAAAAUGCGUAGAGAUCUGGAGGAACACCGAUGGCGAAGGCAGCCUUCUGGGCCAACACUGA
rnacentral:rRNA from 1 species